AACGAACGCUGGCGGCAUGCCUAACACAUGCAAGUCGAACGAGACCUUCGGGUCUAGUGGCGCACGGGUGCGUAACGCGUGGGAACCUGCCCUUAGGUUCGGAAUAACUCCCCGAAAGGGGAGCUAAUACCGGAUAAUGUCUUCGGACCAAAGAUUUAUCGCCUUUGGAUGGGCCCGCGUUGGAUUAGCUAGUUGGUAGGGUAAAAGCCUACCAAGGCGACGAUCCAUAGCUGGUCUGAGAGGAUGAUCAGCCACACUGGGACUGAGACACGGCCCAGACUCCUACGGGAGGCAGCAGUGGGGAAUAUUGGACAAUGGGCGAAAGCCUGAUCCAGCAAUGCCGCGUGAGUGAUGAAGGCCUUAGGGUUGUAAAGCCCUUUUACCCGGGAUGAUAAUGACAGUACCGGGAGAAUAAGCUCCGGCUAACUCCGUG
rnacentral:rRNA from 1 species